rnacentral:rRNA from 1 species
CAUUAAACAGCGAAACUGCGGACGGCUCAUUAAAUCAGUUAUCGUUUAUUUGAUAGCACCUACUACAUGGAUAACUGUGGUAAUUCUAGAGCUAAUACAUGCUAAAAAUCCCGACUUCGGAAGGGAUGUAUUUAUUAGAUUAAAAACCAAUGCCCUUCGGGGCUCUCUGGUGAUUCAUAAUAACUGCUCGAAUCGCACGGCCUUGCGCCGGCGAUGGCUCAUUCAAAUUUCUGCCCUAUCAACUUUCGACGGCUGGGUCUUGGCCAGCCAUGGUGACAACGGGUAACGGAGGGUUAGGGCUCGACCCCGGAGAAGGAGCCUGAGAGACGGCUACUACAUCCAAGGAAGGCAGCAGGCGCGCAAAUUACCCAAUCCCAAUUCGGGGAGGUAGUGACAAUAAAUACUGAUACAGGGCUCUUUUGGGUCUUGUAAUCGGAAUGAGAACAAUUUAAAUCCCUUAACGAGGAACAAUUGGAGGGCAAGUCUGGUGCCAGCAGCCGCGGUAAUUCCAGCUCCAAUAGCGUAUAUUAAAGUUGUUGCAGUUAAAAAGCUCGUAGUUGAACCUUGGGCCUGGCUGGCCGGUCCGCCUCACCGCGUGCACUGGUCCGGCCGGGCCUUUCCCUCUGGGGAGCCGCAUGCCCUUCACUGGGCGUGUCGGGGAACCAGGACUUUUACUGUGAAAAAAUUAGAGUGUUCAAAGCAGGCCUAUGCUCGAAUACAUUAGCAUGGAAUAAUAGAAUAGGACGUGUGGUUCUAUUUUGUUGGUUUCUAGGACCGCCGUAAUGAUUAAUAGGGACAGUCGGGGGCGUCAGUAUUCAAUUGUCAGAGGUGAAAUUCUUGGAUUUAUUGAAGACUAACUGCUGCGAAAGCGUUCGCCAAGGAUGUUUUCAUUAAUCAGGAACGAAAGUUAGGGGAUCGAAGACGAUCAGAUACCGUCGUAGUCUUAACCAUAAACUAUGCCGACUCGGGAUCGGGCGAUGUUAUUUUUUGACGCGCUCGGCACCGUAUACGAAAGUAAAGUUUCUGG